GACAGAGGUGCCAAGCGUUAGGCGGAAUCACUGGGCUUAAAGCGUGUGUAGGCGGAAUGGUAAGUACCUUGUGAAAUCCCACGGCUCAACCGUGGAACUGCUUGGUAUACUGCUUUUCUUGAGCCACUUAGGGGCAACCGGAACAAACGGUGGAGCGGUGAAAUGCGUAGAUAUCGUUUGGAACGCCAAUGGUGAAAACAGGUUGCUGGGAGUGUGCUGACGCUGAGACACGAAAGCCAGGGGGAGCAAAACGGGG
rnacentral:rRNA from 1 species